rnacentral:lncRNA from 1 species
AUUUAAUUUCUCAUUUGCACACAUUCCCAAACUAAAACUAUUCACAACCAUUUAUAUUUUCCCCAUUACAACCAAACCUCUCAAAUUACAGCCGUUGACAAGAAAAAUGUACCCACUUUCUAGAGCCAGAUGUUCCUGCUGGCUGUGAUGAUGAAUCUUCUUCAUUUGAGAACACCGUAGCAAAACGCUUUGCAACAGGACACUUGUUUAUUGGAUAAAUUCAGGUAGGUCCGUCCCCGUUUCUGCCCCUUUACUUCCAUUUGGUUCCUAGUGAAUACGACCCUGGCUACCUUCUACCUCACGUAGGUGGAACAACUCCUCAACCCAACACUCUGGGUCUGGGAAUACCUUCUAGGCCCACACAGCUCAUUAGAUGUACAUGCCCUGUAGGACUCUAGUCAAAAGUAGCGCACUACAUAGGGAAUAGGGUGCCGUUUGGGACUUUGUCCAUUAAUCUCUAUAUAGAUUUCUCAACAGAUUUGCAUGAAUGUUCUGCCAGAUAAUGACACACACACUGUCCUGUCUUAAAGUUCUUAAAGUUUAUUGUGCAGCUUUUGCAGUUGUUAAAUGUAAAAACAUACAGAGCCAUAUCCUUUCUUGUACGUUACCCUGUGGAACAGAUGGUUCAGAACAACAGAGGGCUACUUACUGUAGCACAGUACAGUGUAGGGUUUCUUCAAUGCUGGAUGGGUCCAAAGGCAUCUUAUGGUCAUAGACCAUUUUUAAUUACUAGUCGUCGUAUGAAAUCUAGUAUCCUUCCAUGCAGCAUACUAUAAUCGAUGUUUACAACAUUUUCCCUUUUAAAAACAUUGAUAUGUGUUAGAGUGUAAGCAUCAUCACUUCAGCAUUUGAUUAUCUUAAGGCUGAUAACGUUUAUCCAACUCUGUCAUGUAAACAGUAGGCUAUAGGCCACUCAACCCAGUAAAUGGCAAAUAUGAGCUACAAAAAGAAAUGUCCUGAAUGCUUUUUUGGACUUUUGGUGUAACCUGGACAUCAUAUUGUCUGUGCUGUAUAAUAGCCCUGAGUGUUUUCAUGAUAUACAUGUCAAUAGACAGAAGAAAUUGAGUUAGUGGAGGGUGUUUAUAACAGGGAAUGUAACUGACUGACCCUGAACUGGAUCCUCUGUGGCUGCAGCAUCUUUAGUGAGGUCAAAGUAACAGAGACUCCUAUAUUGUUCUAAACUGGAUCCUCUGUGGCUGCAGCAUCUUUAGUGAGGUCACAGUAACAUAGCGACUCCUAUAUUGUUCUGAACUGGAUCCUCUGUGGCUGCAGCAUCUUUAGUGAGGUCACAGUAACAGAGACUCCUAUAUUGUUCUGAACUGGAUCUUCGAUGG